UACGAAGGGGGCUAGCGUUGCUCGGAAUCACUGGGCGUAAAGCGUGCGCAGGCGGUUCGUUGUGUCGGCGGUGAAAGCCCCGGGCUCAACCUGGGAAUGGCCGUUGAAACUGGCGAACUGGAGUGUGGCAGAGGGGGGUGGAAUUCCGCGUGUAGCAGUGAAAUGCGUAGAGAUGCGGAGGAACACCAAUUGCGAAGGCAGCUCGCUGGGACGUUACUGACGCUGAGACGCGAAAGCGUGGGGAGCAAACAGG
rnacentral:rRNA from 1 species